rnacentral:snRNA from 1 species
AUACUUACCUGGCAGGGGAGACACCAUGAUCACCAAGGUGGUUUUCCCAGGGCGAGGCUUAUCCAUUGCACUCCGGAUGUGCUGACCCCUGCAAUUUCCCCAAAUGUGGGAAAUUCGACUGCAUAGUUUGUGAUAGUGGGGUACUGCGUUCGUGCUCUCCCCUG